AUUGAACGCUGGCGGCAGGCCUAACACAUGCAAGUCGAGCGGAUGAAGGGAGCUUGCUCCUGGAUUCAGCGGCGGACGGGUGAGUAAUGCCUAGGAAUCUGCCUGGUAGUGGGGGAUAACGUCCGGAAACGGGCGCUAAUACCGCAUACGUCCUGAGGGAGAAAGUGGGGGAUCUUCGGACCUCACGCUAUCAGAUGAGCCUAGGUCGGAUUAGCUAGUUGGUGGGGUAAAGGCCUACCAAGGCGACGAUCCGUAACUGGUCUGAGAGGAUGAUCAGUCACACUGGAAGUGAGACACGGUACCGACUCCUACGGGAGGCAGCAGUGGGGAAUACUGGACAAGGGGCGAAAGCCUGAUACAGCAAUGCCGCGUGUGUGAAGAAGGUCUUCGGAUUGUAAAGCACUUUAAGUUGGGAGGAGGGGCAGUAAGUUAAUACCUUGCUGUUUUGACGUUACCAACAGAAUAAGCACCGGCUAACUUCGUG
rnacentral:rRNA from 1 species